rnacentral:tRNA from 1 species
AAGUUUAGGUUAAACAAACCAAGAGCCUUCAAAGCCCUAAACACGAGCACUCACCCUCAUAACUUCU